UCCGACAUGGUGUAGCGGUAACAUAGGUGCCUUUCAAGGUCUCUAGUAUCAAGGAUUCGCACUUGCCCGGGGUUCGACUCCCCGUAUCGGAA